AUUGAACGCUGGCGGCAGGCUUAACACAUGCAAGUCGAGCGGAGCGAGGGUGCUUGCACCUUAGCUUAGCGGCGGACGGGUGAGUAAUGCUUAGGAAUCUGCCUACUAGUGGGGGACAACAUUCCGAAAGGAAUGCUAAUACCGCAUACGCCCUACGGGGGAAAGCAGGGGAUCUUCGGACCUUGCGCUAAUAGAUGAGCCUAAGUCGGAUUAGUUAGUUGGUGGGGUAAAGGCCUACCAAGGCGACGAUCUGUAGCGGGUCUGAGAGGAUGAUCCGCCACACUGGGACUGAGACACGGCCCAGACUCCUACGGGAGGCAGCAGUGGGGAAUAUUGGACAAUGGGCGGAAGCCUGAUCCAGCCAUGCCGCGUGUGUGAAGAAGGCCUUUUGGUUGUAAAGCACUUUAAGCGAGGAGGAGGCUACUUAGAUUAAUACCCUGGGAUAGUGGACGUUACUCGCAGAAUAAGCACCGGCUAACUCUGUGCCAGCCGCCGCAGUAACAC
rnacentral:rRNA from 1 species